GACGAACGCUGGCGGCGUGCUUAACACAUGCAAGUCGAACGGAAAGGCUCUGCUUCUGUGGGGUGCUCGAGUGGCGAACGGGUGAGUAACACGUGAGUAACCUGCCUUCGACAUUGGGAUAACUUCAGGAAGCUGGGGCUAACACCGGAUAGGAGCUCGCGCUGCAUGGUGGGGGUUGGAUAGUUUGGGCGGUUUGGGAUGGUUUGGCGGCUUAUUUGCUUGUUGGUGGGGUAGUGGCUUACUAAGGGCUUGACGGGUCGACGGCCUGGGGGGGUGACCGGCGACAUGGGGCCUGAGGUACGGCGCAGACUCCAACGGGAGGCAGCAGGCGGAAGUAUUACGCAGUGAGCGCGAGCCUGAGACGACAGCGCCGCGUGCGUAAUGACGGCCUUCGGGGUAUAAACCACUUUGGCCUAUGACGAAGCGUGAGUGACGGUAAUUGGUAAAGAAGCACCGGCUAACUACGUG
rnacentral:rRNA from 1 species